rnacentral:rRNA from 1 species
GGGCAGCAUGGCGAUAGCUUGCUAUUGUUGAUGGCGACCGGCGCACGGGUGAGUAACGCGUAUCCAACCUGCCCUUGUCCAUCGGAUAACCCGUCGAAAGGCGGCCUAACACGAUAUGCAGUUCUCCGCAGGCAUCUAACGAGAACGAAAUGUGAAGGAGAAGGAUGGGGAUGCGUCUGAUUAGCUUGUUGGCGGGGUAACGGCCCACCAAGGCGACGAUCAGUAGGGGUUCUGAGAGGAAGGUCCCCCACAUUGGAACUGAGACACGGUCCAAACUCCUACGGGAGGCAGCAGUGAGGAAUAUUGGUCAAUGGGCGAGAGCCUGAACCAGCCAAGUAGCGUGCAGGAUGACGGCCCUAUGGGUUGUAAACUGCUUCUAUGCGGGGAUAAAGUGAGCCACGUGUGGCUUAUUGCAGGUACCGCAUGAAUAAGGACCGGCUAAUUCCGUGCCAGCAGCCGCGGUAAUACGGAAGGUCCGGGCGUUAUCCGGAUUUAUUGGGUUUAAAGGGAGCGUAGGCCGUCUGGUAAGCGUGUUGUGAAAUGUCGGGGCUCAACCUGGGCAUUGCAGCGCGAACUGUCAGACUUGAGUGCGCGGGAAGUAGGCGGAAUUCGUCGUGUAGCGGUGAAAUGCUUAGAUAUGACGAAGAACUCCGAUUGCGAAGGCAGCCUGCUGUAGCGCAACUGACGC